AAAAAAUGUAGCAUUUCCCUCUCAAAGUUCCUUAAUGGAAACUGUGAACAGCUGCACAGCUAGGAAGGAAGCUAUUCUACAAAGAACAACAUGCACGGAGAGACUUCUGGAAACCUGCGCCCAACCAGUGCAAGGGCUAAAGAGAGGACAUAGAGGAUUGGAGCCAUUGGGUUCUGCUGGAAACACAAGGUUGAAGGGGAAAAAAAAAAGUGGGCAGAGCAUGCGCAGCCCAUGGAAAGACUGACUGAACUUCACAGCUGCUAAAAUUAACUGAGGUUCCCAGUGCAAACGGAUUUAACACUGGUGGGUAGUGUGGGGUCCAGGGUGGGGGCUGCAAAUGAAUGGAAGCACCACGUGGAUCAGGGAGCCCUGCACUGGGUGCUGGAUCCCUAGCCCAGCCUGGCUGUGAGUCAGAGUAUCCCACACCCCUUGGCAGGAGCUGGCGGCUUGCAGAGCUCACAGCAUCAGAGAGGAGCUAGUGAGAGACAAGAUUCUUGCAGUCUACUCUAGGAAAAAGAAGAAUGCACGUAAAAAAUAAAAUUCUCUGUCUAUCUCUCUGCUCUCUGUCUCUGUCUGUCUCUCUGUCUCUGUCUGUCUCUCUGUCUCUCUCUUUGGUCUGGCUGGGCAUCCCUGCAUGACACGGUGGGGUGGAGAGAGAUAGAAGAAGAGGAGGCAGCAUGUUCAUCUUCUCCUCCGCCCCGUGCAACACACCUUUGUCAAAGUGAGUCACCCCACAAUUACAGAAGUUACUCUCUGCUAAAGCUCAACAAAACCCCAACGUGUUCCAUAGGAGUGUAAGCCUGCCCAUUGACUGCUGGGAAGUUCCAUAGGAGUGUAAGCCUGCCCAUUGCCUGCUGGGAAGUUCCAUAGGAGUAGUUUCUUCUUCGGCCAAACCAUCUUGUAUCCCUGGUGAAUCCUCCGGCCGGAUAAGUGAGCAGGACAGGUCAUUUGCUGGAAAGAAUCUUUGAUAGCUCCUGUAGAGUAAGCCCGGUGUUCAAGACCACCUGUGGUAUGGUUCUUUGCUAUCAUUCUCCUGUGUGUCAGAGUGUGUGUGCACACACGUAUGUACGAUGUGGAUGCUAUAGGACAGCCUUGGAUGUUACUCCUUGGGGAUCAUCAUCCCCCCUACCUUGGUUUUGGGAUAGGGACUCUGACUGGCUGGGAACUCAUCAAGAAUAGACUGGGUGGCCAGGUAGCCCAGGUGUCUGCUUUUCCCUCCUACCAUUCUAUAUCCCCAGGCAGGCUCUGCACUUUCAGGCAAGUGUCUGGUCACCCCGCACACUGGUGCCUGAGUAUAGAAUUGAAGUCCAGAGAGAAUGUUAGUUAUCAAAGCCUAUACAAAUUUGGGCCCCAGCUGCCAAUUCCACUUUCAGUCUGUGUAGAGCUGAUGGGCUGUGCCCACCUGGUUCCUGGACACACUUCCUGAAUUGUUCAGAGGUAGACAUAGGGACUGAUGUGUGCACAGAUCUCAGCAGUAAUAUGCAGUCUCUCUCUCUCUCUCUCUCUCUCUCUCUCUCACACACACACACACACACACACACACACACACACACACACACACAUACACACACAGCAGUAAUAUGCAGUCUCUCUCUCACACACACAGCAGUAAUAUGCAGUCUCUCUCUCUCUCUCUCUCUCUCUCUCUCUCACACACACACACACACACACACACACACACACACACACAUACACAGAGAGUCAGCAGUAGGUAAAUCAGGCUGCUUUGAGCCCUCCCCCAGGCCAGGCUUUGGGGAUUUUCUGUUAUCACUCGACUAUCUAGGUUUCUGCCUUCUGACUGGGCAACUUUCCCCAAUCCGUGGUGGGAAGGAUGCAUGGAUUUAUGCUUACAGGUAGCUAAGGUAGAGGCCCCUCCACCUGCCAUUCCCGCUAAGCCCUCUGCUUGGCUUUCCCCAGGACCCAUCUUGCUUUCUGUCUAAGCAUAUUAGAUGGCAUGAGUCUCUCAUUCCUCCAGCAAUGGCUGCUGAUGCUGAGCAGGUCAUGGACCUGACUACCAGACUCCAUUGGUGCAUUACCCUUUAUUGGCUGCAAGACUUUGGUUGAGUGAAGAAUCCAGCCUCAGUUUUUUCAUCCAGAAAGUGGGCAUGGUCAUUGCACUUUCCACGUAGAAUUGCUGAGAAGAUUAUGUGAGGUAAGAAGCCUGAGACCUCACCAAGGAACUGCAUAGAAGCUGAAGCCUUUACCAUGUAAUCUGUGGUCAGAAUGAAAACCGUAAGCAUUUUGGAGGAAGGGAUACAGUCUGAAUGAACUAUGCUUCAGGGAAACUACUCAUAGCAUCUAAUAGGAACUUUAGAAUAGGUGGCAUGUAUAUGUGUACAUAUGUGUAUACAUAUAUAUUAUAAGAAGAGUUGUGGGCUGA
rnacentral:lncRNA from 1 species